CAUAUCAAUAAGCGGAGGAAAAGAAACCAACAGGGAUUGCCUCAGUAACGGCGAGUGAAGCGGCAAAAGCUCAGAUUUGAAAUCUGGCGUCUUCGGCGUCCGAGUUGUAAUCUGUAGAGGAUGCCUUUGGGUGGCCACCGGUCUAAGUCCCCUGGAACGGGGUGUCACAGAGGGUGAGAAUCCCGUAUGUGACCGGGAAGGCGCCCUAUACAUGGCUCCUUCGACGAGUCGAGUUGUUUGGGAAUGCAGCUCUAAAUGGGAGGUAAAUUCCUUCUAAAGCUAAAUACCGGCCAGAGACCGAUAGCGCACAAGUAGAGUGAUCGAAAGAUGAAAAGCACUUUGGAAAGAGAGUUAAAAAGCACGUGAAAUUGUUGAAAGGGAAGCGCUUGCAACCAGACUUGUUGGCGGUGUUCCGCCGGUCUUCUGACCGGUCUACUCACCGUCUGCAGGCCAGCAUCAUCUGGGGCCGCUGGAUAAAAGCGGAGGGAAUGUGGCUCCUCCGGGAGUGUUAUAGCCCUCUGUGUAAUACAGCGAGUCCCGGGUGAGGUCCGCGCUUCGGCUAGGAUGCUGGCGUAAUGGUCGUAAGCGGCCCGUCUUGAAACACGGACCAAGGAGUCUAACAUCUAUGCGAGUGUUCGGGUGUCAAACCCCUACGCGUAAUGAAAGUGAACGGAGGUGGGAACCUUUUAGGUGCACCAUCGACCGAUCCUGAUGUCUUCGGAUGGAUUUGAGUAAGAGCAUAGCUGUUGGGACCCGAAAGAUGGUGAACUAUGCCUGGAUAGGGUGAAGCCAGAGGAAACUCUGGUGGAGGCUCGCAGCGGUUCUGACGUGCAAAUCGAUCGUCAAAUUUGGGUAUAGGG
rnacentral:rRNA from 1 species